CUUGACCUCAGAUCCGGC
rnacentral:rRNA from 2 species